rnacentral:rRNA from 1 species
AGAGUUUGAUCCUGGCUCAGAACGAACGCUGGCGGCGUGGAUAAGACAUGCAAGUCGAACGCUGACAUUCAGGUAGCAAUAUUUGGAUGUCGGAGUGGCGCAAGGGUGCGUAACACGUGGGCAAUCUGCCGUGAAGACCGGGAUAACCUGCUGAAAGGCGAGCUAAUACCGGAUGUGAUAAUCGGAAGGCAUCUUCUGAUUCUCAAAGUUGGGGACCGUAAGGCCUGACGCUUCAUGAUGAGCCCGCGGCCUAUCAGCUAGUUGGUGAGGUAACGGCUCACCAAGGCUAAGACGGGUAGCUGGUCUGAGAGGACGACCAGCCACACUGGAACUGAGACACGGUCCAGACACCUACGGGUGGCAGCAGUCGAGAAUUUUUCUCAAUGGGCGAAAGCCUGAAGGAGCGACGCCGCGUGGGGGAUGAAUGGCUUCGGCCCGUAAACCCCUGUCAUUUGCGAACAAACCUAUUCACUUAACACGUGAAGAGCUGAUUGUAGCGAAAGAGGAAGGGACGGCUAACUCUGUGCCAGCAGCCGCGGUAAUACAGAGGUCCCAAGCGUUGUUCGGAUUUACUGGGCGUAAAGGGUGCGUAGGUGGUGAGGUAAGUCUUAUGUGAAAGCUCGGAGCUUAACUCCGAAAUGGCAUAGGAAACUACCUUGCUCGAGGGUUGGAGGGGGGACUGGAAUACUUGGUGUAGCAGUGAAAUGCGUAGAUAUCAAGUGGAACACCAGUGGCGAAGGCGAGUCCCUGGACAACUCCUGACACUGAGGCACGAAAGCUAGGGGAGCAAACGGGAUUAGAUACCCUAGUAGUCC